UUAGUAUGAUUAAAAAUAUAAUUUCUCUUUUUAAUAAAAAAAAACUUAAAAUAUUUUAGUCCAUCAGCCAAUGAUAGUUUAGAUUUAUCGAAUCAAAGACUCGAUGAUAAAGCUGGAGCUGAAUUUGAAGAGCCAAGUAAUGUGUGUCACUUUCAGAUUUUUUGAUGAAAAAUGAAGAGAGAUGGAGUUUGUGUGCUACAGUGGAAUUGAUGUAGCGUACGAAACAAAUUUCCUUAAAUCUUCUACAAAGUUAUAGACUAUAAAAUCAUGUUUUUGCAAGAGAUAGUAUUAUUCCUAGAUAGUUUAUGUCAUGUAAACAAGCAUUAGAAAGGACAAGUCGAAUAAGGAGAGAAAAGCAUUAGUAUGAUCAUUAACAAAAAUGUUAAAUAUUGUCAUGUCAGUUUUAGACAUGACAAUAUUCAACUAAUUUUAGAAAUACAAAAUUAUUAUUAAUCUUAGGGAUCAAUGGUAUGCUAUAAUUAACAGACAUUCGAAUUAAAAGAUUCCAUCACAAUAUAUGUAAAAAUGUAAGUAAAGCGAGUAAAGAAGCAUAAGACUUUUUUCUGUAAAAAUGAGAUAACAAGCAUGAACUGUGAUUCAUAUAUGCGCAUCUGGGUCUUGUAAAGCUACUUGAUUUCAGAUACUGUUACAUGCUUUAAGUUAAAAGAUGAAAAUGACAUAGACUACACAGGUGAGAAGAAAGUGGUUCACUUGCACACUGUAGCAAUUGUUCACUGCCAAUCAUAACGACUUUUGCGUAGAUAAAUUUUUUAUUUUUUUAUUUUUCUUUUUUAUUAUUUUAUUUUUCUAGCACUGUGAUUGGCUUGUGCACAAUUGGCUUGUGUAUAAUUGAUAUAUACGAGAGAAAGGCGAUUUUAGAUUAUUAUUGCAUUUGUAAGUCAGACACAAGGAUAGUAUAUAAGUACAUGUGCACGCGUAGCCAGCGUGUUAUGGCACUUAGGAUAUGCACGACAUUAGCCCAAUGUAUCCCUUUUCGUUGUUAUUAAACACAAUAAUAACAAAUGCUAUUUCAAGACCACAAUAGAAUCCGAAUAAUAAAAAAAUAAAUUAAUAAACAAUUGAAAUAAUUUAUUUUUUAUUAAAUAACAGCGCGAGAAUAGAUGGUGGAUAGCGUCCGAGUCUACCAUGCUAGGGGACUCGAGUUCAAUCCCCGACAGAUCUACGAAAUUUUCACACGCUCGUAUCUCCUCUUUGGUGAUCUGAAAAACUACCAAGAAUAUCUAUUGCCAAGAAAACCUCUCAAACUGCUGUUCGAAACUGGCAUCAAAUUGUAGGUCCCGUAUGUCUGUGUCAAUCUUGCAUGUCAAUCUCGCACCACUGACAUAUGUAGGAGAAGUAGGCCCUAUUCAGAUAGGGAACGAGAAACCGAAAGGAGUCAUUAUAGAACUGGAGACAGAUUAAAUAACUGCAUCGGAGCAUUUAUUUAACCAUACAUAUACAUGCACGCACACAGGCGUGGACGCACGUACACACGGGACCAGUUCUCUACCACGUUCAUGUUAGUCCUAUAUUAAGAGUUCCUGUGCAUUGAGGCAUUCCAAAGAAUGAAAAGGCGGACAAACUUAUCAAGCAGAAUUUAACAGCAAGAGAAAAUUUGAAAGGAAUGCGCUCAAUCUAAGAAGUAACAAUACGCAGAAUUAUAUUAUAAGGAAGCAAUCAAGCCGUAUCAAAUAAAAGCCUUGAAAAGAGAAGAAAUUGUGAUGAUUAACCGUAUACGCAGCAAUCACUACAACUUGAAUUUCAGUUUAUUCAGAAAAAGUAUUAUAGAUUCUCCGAACUAUCCUUGCGAAGGAGCAAGUCUGUUGUAUUGUCAUCUGUACAGGCACAAUAGACAAAUAAUAUCAGAAAAUAUAUAUAAUAUGAGAAAUUCUCUGAAUCUUCAAAUAAUAUUCUCUAUGUUCAAAGAUCCCUCUUCCCAAAAGUAUGUUGAUUCCUAUUUGCGGUGUUGUUUAAGUCAAUCAAUCAAUAUCCAGAUUUGAAUCCAACUGACUGGUCGCUGGCGCCUCUCUCUCCUCGGGGGAGAGAGUGCGCAAAGCAAGCGGGUGAUCGGAGUUCAGGCUCCACAGAGAUAUAGAGUAUAAUAUCUAAAUCAGUUUUGUAUUUGACCGUAUUAUCGGCAAUUGGUUGACAGGUGCUAUUUUA